UAGGGAAUAUUGCGCAAUGGGGGAAACCCUGACGCAGCGACGCCGCGUGAGUGACGAAGGCCUUAGGGUCGUAAAGCUCUGUUGAAUGGGAAGAAACAAAUGACGGUACCAUUCGAGAAAGGAUCGGCUAACUUCGUGCCAGCAGCCGCGGUAAGACGAGGGAUCCUAGCGUUGUUCGGAAUCAUUGGGCGUAAAGCGUGUGUAGGCGGCCUUGUAAGUCAGUUGUGAAAGCCCCGGGCUUAACCCGGGAAGUGCUUCUGAUACUGCUUGGCUUGAGUACUGGAGAGGAUAGUGGAAUUCCAGGUGUAGUGGUGAAAUACGUAGAUAUCUGGAGGAACACCGGUGGCGAAGGCGGCUAUCUGGCCAUGUACUGACGCUGAGACACGAAAGCGUGGGGAGCAAACAGG
rnacentral:rRNA from 1 species